rnacentral:rRNA from 1 species
UGGUAGUNCACGCCGUAAACGAUGAGUGCUAGGUGUUAGGCCCUUUCCGGGGCUUAGUGCCGGAGCUAACGCAAUAAGCACUCCGCCUGGGGAGUACGACCGCAAGGUUGAAACUCAAAGGAAUUGACGGGGGCCCGCACAAGCGGUGGAGCAUGUGGUUUAAUUCGAAGCAACGCGAAGAACCUUACCAGGUCUUGACAUCCCGAUGCUAUUCUUAGAGAUAGGAAGUUACUUCGGUACAUCGGAGACAGGUGGUGCAUGGUUGUCGUCAGCUCGUGUCGUGAGAUGUUGGGUUAUGUCCCGCAACGAGCGCAACCCUUAUUGUUAGUUGCCAUCAUUAAGUUGGGCACUCUAGCGAGACUGCCGGUAAUAAACCGGAGGAAGGUGGGGAUGACGUCAAAUCAUCAUGCCCCUUAUGACCUGGGCUACACACGUGCUACAAUGGUCGGUACAACGAGUUGCGAGCCGGUGACGGCAAGCUAAUCUCUGAAAGCCGAUCUCAGUUCGGAUUGGAGGCUGCAACUCGCCUCCAUGAAGUCGGAAUCGCUAGUAAUCGCGGAUCAGCACGCCGCGGUGAAUACGUUCCCGGGCCUUGUACACACCGCCCGUCACACCACAAGAGUUUGUAACACCCGAAGUCGGUGAGGUAACCUUUUAGGGGCCAGCCG